rnacentral:rRNA from 1 species
UGGGGAAUUUUGGACAAUGGGCGAAAGCCUGAUCCAGCAAUGCCGCGUGUGUGAAGAAGGCCUUCGGGUUGUAAAGCACUUUUGUCCGGAAAGAAAUCCUUGGCUCUAAUACAGUCGGGGGAUGACGGUACCGGAAGAAUAAGCACCGGCUAACUACGUGCCAGCAGCCGCGGUAAUACGUAGGGUGCAAGCGUUAAUCGGAAUUACUGGGCGUAAAGCGUGCGCAGGCGGUUUGCUAAGACCGAUGUGAAAUCCCCGGGCUCAACCUGGGAACUGCAUUGGUGACUGGCAGGCUAGAGUAUGGCAGAGGGGGGUAGAAUUCCACGUGUAGCAGUGAAAUGCGUAGAGACUGUGGGGGAAUACCGAUGGCGAAGGCAGCCCCCUGGGCCAAUACUGACGCUCAUGCACGAAAGCGUGGGGAGCAAACAGGAUUAGAUACCCUGGUAGUCCACGCCCUAAACGAUGUCAACUAGUUGUUGGGGAUUCAUUUUCCUUAGUAACGUAGCUAACGCGUGAAGUUGACCGCCUGGGGAGUACGGUCGCAAGAUUAAAACUCAAAUGAAUUGAC